rnacentral:SRP_RNA from 1 species
AGGAGCAAGCAUGUACCUAUAAUCCCAGCUUCUAGGGCUGAGGUGAGAGGAUCACUUGAGCCCAGGAGUCCAGGACUGUAGUGUUCUAUGCUGUUUGGUUGUCUGUAUUAAGUUUGGCAUCAUUAUAGUGACCUCCUGGUAGUGGGAGACUACAAGGUUGCCUAAGGAGGGGUGAAGCAGCCCAGGUUGGAAAUGGAGCAGGUCAAAAUGCCUGUGCUGAGCAGUAGUGCAAUGCGACUGUGAAUAGUCACUGCACUAUACCCUGGGCAACGUAACAAGACCCAAUCUCU